AGUCGAACGAGCCUUCGGGCUAGUGGCGGACGGGUGAGUAACGCGUGGGAACCUGCCCUCAGGAGGGGGAUAACGGCCGGAAACGGCCGCUAAUACCCCAUAUGCCGAGAGGUGAAAUGAAUUUCGCCUGAGGAUGGGCCCGCGUCUGAUUAGCUAGUUGGUGGGGUAAUGGCCCACCAAGGCGACGAUCAGUAGCUGGUCUGAGAGGAUGAUCAGCCACACUGGGACUGAGACACGGCCCAGACUCCUACGGGAGGCAGCAGUGGGGAAUUUUCCGCAAUGGGCGAAAGCCUGACGGAGCAACGCCGCGUGAGGGAUGAAGGCCUCUGGGCUGUAAACCUCUUUUCUCAAGGAAGAAGACAUGACGGUACUUGAGGAAUAAGCCACGGCUAAUUCCGUGCCAGCAGCCGCGGUAAUACGGGAGUGGCAAGCGUUAUCCGGAAUUAUUGGGCGUAAAGCGUCCGCAGGCGGCCUUGUAAGUCUGUCGUUAAAGCGUGGAGCUUAACUCCAUUUGAGCGAUGGAAACUACAAGGCUUGAGUGUGGUAGGGGCAGAGGGAAUUCCCGGUGUAGCGGUGAAAUGCGUAGAUAUCGGGAAGAACACCAGUGGCGAAGGCGCUCUGCUGGGCCAUAACUGACGCUCAUGGACGAAAGCCAGGGGAGCGAAAGGGAUUAGAUACCCCUGUAGUCCUGGCCGUAAACGAUGAACACUAGGUGUCGGGGGAAUCGACCCCCUCGGUGUCGUAGCUAACGCGUUAAGUGUUCCGCCUGGGGAGUACGCACGCAAGUGUGAAACUCAAAGGAAUUGACGGGGGCCCGCACAAGCGGUGGAGUAUGUGGUUUAAUUCGAUGCAACGCGAAGAACCUUACCAGGGUUUGACAUCCUGCGAAUCCCUUGGAAACGAGGGAGUGCCUUCGGGAGCGCAGAGACAGGUGGUGCAUGGCUGUCGUCAGCUCGUGUCGUGAGAUGUUGGGUUAAGUCCCGCAACGAGCGCAACCCACGUCGUUAGUUGCCAGCAUUCAGUUGGGCACUCUAGCGAGACCGCCGGUGAUAAACCGGAGGAAGGUGUGGAUGACGUCAAGUCAUCAUGCCCCUUACAUCCUGGGCUACACACGUACUACAAUGCUACGGACAAAGGGUUGCAAGCUCGCGAGAGUUAGCUAAUCCCAUAAACCGUGGCUCAGUUCAGAUCGUAGGCUGCAACUCGCCUACGUGAAGGAGGAAUCGCUAGUAAUCGCAGGUCAGCAUACUGCGGUGAAUACGUUCCCGGGCCUUGUACACACCGCCCGUCACACCAUGGAAGUUGGCCAUGCCCGAAGUCGUUACUCCAACCCUUGUGGAGGAGGACGCCGAAGGUGGGGCUGAUGACUGGGGUGAAGUCGUAACAAGGUAACCGUA
rnacentral:rRNA from 1 species